rnacentral:rRNA from 1 species
CCUACGGGGCGCAGCAGUGAGGAAUAUUGGUCAAUGGACGAGAGUCUGAACCAGCCAAGUAGCGUGAAGGAUGACUGCCCUAUGGGUUGUAAACUUCUUUUAUAUGGGAAUAAAAUGUUCCACGUGUGGGAUUUUGUAUGUACCAUAUGAAUAAGGAUCGGCUAACUCCGUGCCAGCAGCCGCGGUAAUACGGAGGAUCCGAGCGUUAUCCGGAUUUAUUGGGUUUAAAGGGAGCGUAGGUGGAUUGUUAAGUCAGUUGUGAAAGUUUGCGGCUCAACCGUAAAAUUGCAGUUGAAACUGGCAGUCUAGAGUACAGUAGAGGUGGGCGGAAUUCGUGGUGUAGCGGUGAAAUGCUUAGAUAUCACGAAGAACUCCGAUUGCGAAGGCAGCUCACUGGACUGCAACUGACACUGAGGCUCGAAAGUGUGGGUAUCAAACAGGAUUAGAUACCCCAGUAGUC